UACGUAGGGGGCAAGCGUUGUCCGGAUUUAUUGGGCGUAAAGCGCGUGUAGGCGGCCAGGUAGGUCGGUUGUGAAAAUUGGAGGCUCAACCUCCAGACGUCGAUCGAAACCAUCUGGCUAGAGUCCGGAAGAGGAGAAUGGAAUUCCAGGUGUAGCGGUGAAAUGCGUAGAUAUCUGGAGGAAUACCGGUGGCGAAGGCGGCAUCCUGGACCGACAUUGACGCUGAACGGCGAAAGCUAGGGGAGCAAACGGG
rnacentral:rRNA from 1 species